UACGAAGGGUGCAAACGUUGCUCGGAAUCAUUGGGCGUAAAGCGCACGUAGGCGGCGAUCUAAGUCGGAUGUGAAAUCCCUCGGCUCAACCGAGGACGUGCAUCCGAAACUGGAUUGCUCGAGUAUGGAAGAGGGUCGCGGAAUUCUCGGUGUAGAGGUGAAAUUCGUAGAUAUCGGGAGGAACACCAGUGGCGAAGGCGGCGACCUGGGCCAAUACUGACGCUGAGGUGCGAAAGCCAGGGGAGCAAACGGG
rnacentral:rRNA from 1 species